CUAGGCUCCCACAAAACCAAUAGGUGCAGAUAAUAAAUAAAUUAAAAAAAUUUUUCAAUCGCUCACAUUUAGAAAAUGCCACUAUGCAGAUUUUUGGAGAAUAUGUUGAGGAAGUCCAUUAAUAAAUAAUAUUUAUAAAUCAGAAAAAAAACUGUUUAUAACUCUAGCCCUAAGGGAUCUGAUGUCCCCUUCUGGCUUCUGUAGGCUCUGCACUCAGGUGCAGUAACCCAUGUGCGCUCUUUCUCUCUCUCUCUCUCUCUCUCUCUCUCUCUCUCUCUCUCUCUCUCUCACACACACACACACACACACACUCACCCUCAGAUCUUUAAAAAAUGUUGCUGUAAAGAGAUACUUCUGGUGAGGAUUUAGAGGAUUGGGGAAACAUUUUUUUUCUCUUUUCUAUUAUCAAGAAAACAACCAGGUAAGCUGACAAUCAACCCCAUUUUCACAUGCCCUUUAAAAAUCCUUUAUAGACGAUUAUAUUAAAAGUAUAAGCAUAUAUUAAAUCUUAGAGAAAGGUAAGUGUUUCUGAGUUGAGUGGCAGUGAGAAGGUAACUUUGUAUCUCCAGACACUCACCCAGUCUGCGGUGCAGCUGCUGGGAUGGGAGUCAGCCACAGGACUACUGCCUUCCACUGGGUGAGACUUUAUUAUACAUUGCAGGAAGUUCAAUAUAAAGCAAUAAAUUAACUCCCCAAAGAAGAAAUAAAGGAGAAAGCUCGUGACCCCACAUUAGGACUUAUUUCUGAACAGCCAUUUAAAAAAACAUGGUGAGAAAGAACAACGGCAAUAAUCGAUAUGAAAGUAAUAAUAAUGUCAAAUCAGUCAGUUGCGCAUACCCGUAAUCCGAACAGGCGAGAUGCUGAAGAAAGAGGAUUGCUACAAAUAGGAGGCCAGCUUGGGCCACAAGCAAGGCUCAGCCUCGGAAAGACACAGAAAUGGGAAAGCUGAUAAAUCCCUGACAAAACAGUUUGAGAAAAGGGAAAUAAAAAUAUUAAACAUUAGAAAGCCAAUAAAGGUUAUAAAAAUAAAUUCUUUCACUAGAAAUAUAACGAAUGUUUAGACAUUACAAACAAUUCCCAACACAGUUCACCAAAAGCAGAAACAGGAAAUGAUAUACAGAUUGCUAGAAUUUUAAAGACAACUCGGUAAUGUUCCUGAGCAAAAUGUCAUUUUAAAAUACAUUUACAUGUAGCAGAGAUAAUAAAUUAAUAAAUAGAAAAUUGAAAGUAUCGUUGACACCUAAAAGAUUUUAAAAAUUCCUGAAAGCAAAUUAGUGGUGAGAUACAUCACACCAUGAGAUUGGAAGAUUCAGUGGUAUAAAGGCGUAUUAAAAAUGAUACGCAGAUUUAACCAACUCAUUUUUGAAGUUAGUAGACAGGCUGAUUUUAAAACGUACCCAGAACCACAACCUAUCAUAAAAAGUCAAGAGAGUUUGAAGAAGGAAAAAGAGGGAGGAAUCACUCUCAUAAAAUGGCGACAAUACUGACCAAACUCUGACUAUUGCAGUGUGGCGCUGAGUCUAACCCAGACUGCUAAGUCACUAGCAUAGAGGCUGCAUAUGAGCCUGCACAUAAGAGAUUAAUGAUCAAGUUUAUGCUUGACAUUGGUGAAAGGAAAUCUCCGAGAUUGUGCCGGGUCAGUUGUGUGCCCCAGUGUGUGUGGUAGGGAAACAAGGCCUUUUCUACAUCAUAUCUAGAUUACUUUUGGAUGGAUCUCAAGUCUUAAUAUACAGACACUAACAGUAAAAACUGCAUGCUAGAUUCCAUGAAAAUGUCCCUGUGGGUGUUUAUAGCACCAACCACCAAGGAUCCAAGUGAUGUUUUGCUGACUACUAAAUUAAAGAACGAUGUUUAGACAAUGUGAUGGUUAAUUUUCACUGUCUACCUGCAGGGGGUUAGAAACACCCGGGUAACAUGCGUCUGGGCACGUGUCUGGCAGUGUGCCCACAGAGGUUGAAAUGAGGAGGGAAUGGAAGUGGUACCAUUUUGUGGGCUGGGAUGCUGGGCCGAAUUAAAUGGAGAAGCAAGCAGAACACUAGCAGUCAUCUUUCUCUGCUUCCUGACUGCCGAGGAAAUGUGACCCUGCCUCAUGCUUCUCACACAAUGGCAUCACUGCCGUGAUGGACUGUACCUUCUUAAGUCAACCAUGAGCCAAAAUUAACUCCUUUUUGGGAGGUGCUUUUGUCUUUUAUUCUGUCACAACAAGGAAAGUCACACAGCCGAUGAUGCUGUGUUGAAAGUCAAGCCGCAGAGUGGAGGGGGGCAGAUUUGUUACACAUAUGAUUUUGCUGUGCCACUGUAGGAUGAAAAGGAGGAGAUGGCUUGAGAUUCAAGAUGUGUUGUAGAAGAACCAUUUCCUUAGGUUAUCAGAGCACCUUUGAUGUUGGAACCAAGAAAAUGAACCAAAACAGAUGGCUUAUAAAGAAGUUUCAGGAGAUGACUGAGAAACAACAUGAUUUUAGUUCUGCCUGCUUUUUCAUAGUUCCUUACCUAUAACCCGAGCCAGUGUCCUUGCCCAUUUAGCUGCAGACAAAGCUCCAAGUCCAGCUAUAUGCCCGGCGAGCAAAGGGAAGUGCUGUUUUCCACACCAGACCCAGGAACCUUUGUAGGAAGUUGGGAGGUUCAGUAAUAAUCUGUGUUCUGAUAAUUCUGUUAGGAACACCAUUUCCUCACAUUCACAGAAAACUUACUUAGAACUGUCACCGCGGACUGAGACCAAGAACUUCUGGAAAGAAUGCACACCCACUGUGAGGCCCUAAUUACCCUCUUGCACCAGCAAUCUGCAACCUUGCCUAUUGCUUCAGCUUCCUUCAUUGGAGAGGGAUUCCAGUCUGGAGCAUUGGGGCAGAUGGCAUCAUAAGAAUUCACUGGCAACCUGCAGGAUCGAUAAGAGGACUGGCAGAGUCAUUGCGGAGAAUCUUUAUCAAGUCUGCAUCUCUAUCAAGCUCAUAUAUUGAAAUCCUUGACCUCCAGUGGUGUUAGGAGAUGGACUGUCCAGAGGCAAUCAGGUAUGAGAAAUUCGAUGGAAUUGGUAGGAGGUCAUAGAUUUAGACUGGACACCUGCCCUGACCCCAACAGACCAA